rnacentral:lncRNA from 10 species
CAAAAGCUGAUUGGAAGUCUAUUCUUCCACCCUUGCCAGCCUGCCAGGAUGGUGUCAGAAAGGCCAUGUAGAAAGCAGAGUUUCAUCCCCACUGAGUGGUGAGAAGAUUUUCUCAAUGGAUAUCAUAUGAAGAGUCAGAACUUCACCAUGUCACCCCUCAAUUUGGCAGUAAAGAAGUACCUGUCCCCUCUCAGCAGGGUAGUGUCAGAAGAAGCCUACUGGAGAGUCAGGACUUUCACCACCACUCAAUUGCCACAGGCCACCCCCAUGGUGUCAAUAGAGGAUGAGUGGGGAGCUGGAAACCCCGCUUCCACCCGGCAAUAAUGAGGUUCCCUCCCCUCCCCGACUUGAGUGUCAACAGAUGCUGAGGGGGAACUGAAAGAAAAAAAUAGAUUAACCCACAAUUAUAGUUAGAAACUUCUCUACUCUUUUCUCAACAACUGAUAGAGCAACUAGACAGAAAAUCAGCAAAGAUAUAAAAGAACUCAAUGAAAGCAUCAAUCAAAAGGAUUUAAUUGACUUUAAUAGAACAUGCUACCUAAUAACAGCAAGAUGUACAUUAUUUUUAUACAUAUCCAAGAUAGACUAUAUGCUGGGCCAUAAAACCUCAACAAAUUUAAAAUAAUCGAAGUCAUGCAAAGUGUAUUCUGCUUCCACCCACCAAGUCUUACAUUAGCCCAUUUGCACACUGCUAUAAAGAAUUACCUGAGACUGGGUAAUUUAUAAAGAAAACAGGUUUAAUUGAUUUACAGUUCCACAUGGCUUGGAAGGCCUCAGGAAACUUACAAUCAUGGCAGAAGGCAAAGGGAAAGCAAGGCACGUUUUACAUGGCAGCAGGAGACAAUGAAAGGGAAGAGCCAUGCACUUAUCAAAAAACCAGAUCUUGUGAGAAUUCUGUCAUGAGAACAGCAAGGCAGAAGUCCGUCCCCAUGAUUCAAUCACCUCCCACAAGGCCACUCUGCCAACACAUGGGGAUUACAAUUUGAGAUGGGAUGUGGGUGGGGACACAGAACCAAACUAUGUCAAGUCUUUUCCAUAGGCCUUCACCAAGUGUCCCCAGAAAUACUGGAAGCAAGGCAGGAGAGCUGCAAAUGGUCCCUCAUAUACACAUACACACAGAGCCAGGCACAGGCAUUGAAUGCCUGGUAGUCUGAGGAUGGAGAGGAGAAGGGAAGAAACUCUUCUGGCACUCUGUCUUACAGUGAGUGCAACCAGUGGGCUCCUAUUGUUGGAAGUAGGUAAAAGAGCUCAAGGAGUUUCCCCAUAUUAAGUAUAGGUGUGUGGGACCUGCUGAGUGAAGAAUGAAGGCAAUGCAAGAGAACUGAGAAAAUGACUCCAGACACACAACUCCAAAGCCCUCGGAAAGGGAAUGCAUUAAACCUACCCUUAAUCAUUUGAAGACUCUGCUGAAUUAAAUCUUGCUAGAGUAACAAUAUGGCCCAAACCUGGCUCAAUUCAAAAUAGUUUGACUCAGUGCCCACACUAGCAGUGUGACAGAAGAAGGGAAAAACACUCCUCUUGGCACAAAUAUUAUUUAUGUAGGUCUCUACAUUUAUCUUACACAGAAUAUACAGCAUUCCGUCAAAACUAUACGACAUGCAAAGAAACAAGACCCAUCAUUUAAAAAAAGAAAGAGUCAAAAGAACCAGAUUCACAUAUGAUCCAAAUGUCAGAAUAAUCAGAAAAUUUUUUAAAAAGAAUAGUCACAAUAAGACAUUAAAGGAUCUAGCAGUGAAAGAUACAGAUGAGCAAAUGGAAAAUGUCAUUAGUGCAAUGGAAACUGUAUAAAAGAUCCAAGUGGAAAUUCUAGAACUAAAACAGAUAAUAACAAAGUCCAUCAGAAUUCUUUCCAUACACUUAUCAGCAGACCAGACACAGAGGAAGAAAACACCAGUGAACUUAAAGACAUGCCAAUAAAAUUAUCCAAACUGUAAUGCAAAGAGAAAAAAUCUGUGAAAAAAUACAGCAUCUAAAAAUCUGAGGAGCAAUAUCAAAUGGUUUAACAAAAACAUAAUUGGAGUUCCAAAUAAAUAAGAGAGAAAAUGGAGCAAAAAAAUUGAUGAAUAAUGAUUGAGAAUUUUGCUAAAUUGAUAAACACAUUUAUCUGCAGUUCCAAGAAGCUCAUUAAGCCCCAAGCAGGAUAAAUACAAAGAAAACCACACCAAUAUGCAUCAUAGUCAAAGUGCUAAAAGUCAAAUAUAAUCUUGAAAGCAGCCUGAAGAAAAAAGUCACACUUUAUACUCAAGUGAACAACAAUCAGAAUGAAGUAAGACUAUUCAUCAGAAACAGUGGAGAACAGAAGAAAAUGAACUAACAUUUUCAAAUUCUAAUAGAAAAAACUGUCAACCUAGAUACUAAAUCCAGUGAAAAUAUUCUUUAUGAAGGAAGAAAAAAUAAAGAAAUUGUCAGACGACGAAGGCUGAAAAAA